GUUGGAGGAAACUGCCGAGAUGCCGAAUUGAAAGUCAAUUGUCUCUGGCCGCUUAAAGCUCUUUAAAUAGAGCUGGAAAGACGCUCUAAAUGCUGUCCACGCGUGUUGAUGGCCCACGUGCGAGAGUUGAGGCGUGAAUGGGCCGUCCGUGGGAAUGUGCGUUAGCUUGGCUUGGUCCUUGUGAAGGGAUAGUGGAGUCCAUGUGCAAGAACGAAGCGGGCCCAGGCUGGAUGAAUGUGCAUGAAUUUG
rnacentral:lncRNA from 1 species